GCAUGCUUAACACAUGCAAGUCGAACGAAGGCUUCGGCCUUAGUGGCGCACGGGUGAGUAACGCGUGGGAACCUGCCUCUUGGUUUGGAAUAACUGCGGGAAACUGCAGCUAAUACCGGAUACGUCGAGCGACUGUGGUGGUUGCUUGGGAAAGAUUUAUCGCCGAGAGAGGGGCCCGCGUUCGAUUAGGUAGUUGGUGAGGUAACGGCUCACCAAGCCUACGAUCGAUAGCUGGUCUGAGAGGAUGAUCAGCCACACUGGGACUGAGACACGGCCCAGACUCCUACGGGAGGCAGCAGUGGGGAAUAUUGGACAAUGGGCGCAAGCCUGAUCCAGCAAUGCCGCGUGAGUGAUGAAGGCCUUAGGGUUGUAAAGCUCUUUCGGCGGGGACGAUGAUGACGGUACCCGCAGAAGAAGCCCCGGCUAACUUCGUGCCAGCAGCCGCGGUAAUACGAAGGGGGCUAGCGUUGUUCGGAAUUACUGGGCGUAAAGGGCGCGUAGGCGGCGGUACAAGUUAGGCGUGAAAGCCCCGGGCUCAACCUGGGAAUUGCGCUUGAUACUGUGCUGCUAGAGUUCGGGAGAGGUGAGUGGAAUUCCCAGUGUAGAGGUGAAAUUCGUAGAUAUUGGGAAGAACACCGGUGGCGAAAGGCGGCUCACUGGACCCGAUACUGACGCUGAGGCGCGAAAGCGUGGGGAGCAAACGGGAUUAGAUACCCCUGGUAGUCCACGCCGUAAAACGAUGUGUGCCUAUACGCUGGGGAAGCAUAGCUCUUCCGGUGUCGCCCGUCUUAACGCAUUUAAGCCCACCGCCUUGGGGAAGUACGGCCCUCAAGGUUUA
rnacentral:rRNA from 1 species